GCAAAAAUAGCUCAAUGGUAGAGUAUGCCUUGCCAAGGUUAAUGUUGAGGGUUCGAGUCCCUUUUUUUGCU
rnacentral:tRNA from 3 species